CGUAUCCAAUGAUUACUACAGGAUUUAAUGUUGGGUUGUCAAUGAUACGUACAUCUCCUCCACCUGGAGCCCACGUAUCGUAUAAACCACCAACAUACAUAGCUUUUACUACUAGUAGUAAAGCUCCAAAUCCUAGUAUCACUAGGUGAAUACCUAGAAUAGUAGUAAUUUUGUUCUUAUCACGCCA
rnacentral:antisense_RNA from 1 species